rnacentral:rRNA from 1 species
CCUACGGGUUGCACCAGUGGGGAAUAUUGCACAAUGGGCGCAAGCCUGAUGCAGCCACGCCGCGUGUAUGAAGAAGGCCUUCGGGUUGUAAAGUACCUUCAGCGGGGAGGAAGGCGAUAAGGUUAAUAACCUUGUCGAUUGACGUUGCCCGCAGAAGAAGCACCGGCUAACUCCGUGCCAGCAGCCGCGGUAAUACGGAGGGUGCAAGCGUUAAUCGGAAUUACUGGGCGUAAAGCGCACGCAGGCGGUCUGUCAAGUCGGAUGUGAAAUCCCCGGGCUCAACCUGGGAACUGCAUUCGAAACUGGCAGGCUAGAGUCUUGUAGAGGGGGGUAGAAUUCCAGGUGUAGCGGUGAAAUGCGUAGAGAUCUGGAGGAAUACCGGUGGCGAAGGCGGCCCCCUGGACAAAGACUGACGCUCAGGUGCGAAAGCGUGGGGAGCAAACAGGAUUAGAUACCCCAGUAGUC